rnacentral:rRNA from 1 species
GAUGAACGCUGGCGGCGUGCCUAAUACAUGCAAGUCGAGCGAACGGACGAGACGCUUGCUUCUCUGAUGUUAGCGGCGGACGGGUGAGUAACACGUGGAUAACCUACCUAUAAGACUGGGAUAACUUCGGGAAACCGGCGCUAAUACCGGAUAAUAUUUUGAACCGCAUGGUUCAAAAGUGAAAGACGGUCUUGCUGUCACUUAUAGAUGGAUCCGCGCUGCAUUAGCUAGCUGGUAAGGUAACGGCUUACCAAGGCAACGAUGCAUAGCCGACCUGAGAGGGUGAUCGGCCACACUGGAACUUAGACACGGUCAAGACGCCUGCGGGAGGCAGCAGUAGGGAAUCUUCCGCAGAGGGCGAAAGCCUGACGGAGCAACGCCGCGUGAGUGAUGAAGGUCUUCGGAUCGUAAAACUCUGUUAUUAGGGAAGAACAGAUGUGUAAGUAACUGUGCACAUCUUGACGGUACCUAAUCAGAAAGCCACGGCUAACUACGUG